GCUCGGGGCCCAGGGCGGGCAGCGGGGAGUCCCGGCGUGUGGGUUCGAAGCGCCCUUAGCAUUGAGCGGGCUGAAGGCAGGGCUCACCCCCCUGCUCUCUGCAAUGGGUUCAGCCGCCGUGCCCCGCUGGGCCGCGUGGGCUGGGCCGCGCCAUUGUGGGAGGGGAGCGUGGGGCCUGACGACCCUGUCCCCUCAGGCGGCCAUGGAGGCGGCACCGGGGCCGGGACACGCCGAGGCUGCGGAGGCGCCUUGUCGCAGAAAGAUGUCUUGAAGUAAAGAAGCCUGCUCUUCCCAGGUGGAUGUGACACAGCAGGAUGGGAGCAGGUUGCUUUUCUGGGAUGGCCUGAAUCCGAAGGUAAGAGAUGAAUUUCACUGGAACACACAGAGCUUUAUGCCAGGUGAAAUGUAACUUGAGGAUGAAUGAGGUUCAUAGGCUGUAAGGAACUUGGAAGGUGUGUUUUGUUACUCAAUCUGCCUUCCCUCUUCUGUUCCUUACAGUUUAAAGCCUGAUACUUCUUGAUAACUGUAUUUAGUAUAACUUGCAGGUCUGUGCUGCCACGUGCUGGUGGUUACUGAUGUCCAUCCAUUGAUAUUACAGCUCUUCCCAGGCCCUGUGGAAGGCAGCGAGACAGCAGAGCAGGAGAGUCUCCUGGGUGGUGAUGCUGCCAACAGCUGCUCUGGGGAGGAAGGAAUCCAACAAACCUUGUGAGCUUUGGGACUGGUGUUCGUGGACACAACAUGGUUUUCUGUCUGAAGGUGCUAAGAAAUCACAAUGGUUACACUGUGCUGAUGACACAAACAUUAAAGUGAUCUCUUUCAAAAAAAAAA